UGGGUUAUUUCUUUAAAGUGUGAUGACUGAUAUUUACUCGACUGGUUCUACAGAAACUGAUAUCACCGCUCAGAUGCUUAUCAAAAUAAAUCACUGAUUUUCUGGUUCUGUCGGGUUUAUACAUCCCACGCUUUUUUUAAAUUCGCUUUUUGUUCGUAAAAGUCAAACACGCGAUAAAUGUGCGCUUUGUUCACAAUUAAUCAGGUAAUUAAUAUCGGCUGUUAUCUAAAAUAUUGUAUUAGUAUUGAUUUAUUGCUGGAGUUUAAACCUAAUAUAUAAUGAGUGUGUGUGUGAAUAUAUCCUGCUUCAGCAUGCUAGUCCGUUUGCAUUGUUUAUUGACUGUCGAUAUUUGAUAUUCGUGUGAAUUUUCCUAUUGUUAUUGAUGUUUGUCAUAGCAAACGCACCAAUAGGGGGCGCUAUCAGCCUUGGCUUGAUGGCCACGUCCUCCAGCUCCAUGGAAGCAUUCCGCUAUAUUUGUCAACUGUUUUGACGUUCACCAGAUAAAGCUUUGAAUUUUGUCUGGUGCUGGGAUCACAGAGUUCAGAAAGACGAUAUCUCUCUCCGAACUACUAGUUAAUUUACUUAAUUGCUAUAUUUAUUUACAGUGACAGGCAGCGUCCAUGCUGUCCGAUUAGGCGGUGUGGCCAGACAUCUGUUGGCAUGUGAAAAAAUCCUUGCGCUGUAAUAAUUAAUCAUCAUCAGAUAGCAAAUAUGGUACAAACUACAUCUGUAGACAUGUAAUUGAGUUUUCUGAAAAAAAAGAAAAAACGUUUAUUCACAAAUAUAGUUUGUUCUGCGUCUCUUGUUUUACACAUGGCUUAUGGGGGUGGAGGUGGUGCUGGGAAGGGUUUUGCAGGCACUUGAAGAGGAUCUUAGUGAGAACAGCUGGAGCAGGGCUGGAGACCGUUCUCGUUGCACGAUGUGCACUUCAGGGCUUUGAAGGAGUCGGUGAAACAGUUGCGAAACACAGACAUUUUGCUGCCAUGGCACAUAGGGCACGGGACAAAGGCAAAUCCCCCACACGUCUGGCAUGUGUCGGGGUGCUGAACCCUCUACCGUCAUACAGAGAAACAGAGAGAAGAAUGUGAGUGGAUUGGAACCAAAUACCUGACCUAUUCUCUUUGACAUACAAUCUGAGUGAUGCUUGCUUUAUUUAUUUAUUAAAAUAAGACAAAUGCAAAAUUGAUUUUAUCUGUUAUGUUGGGCUGUUCUGCGCACUAUUUAUCUAAAUGUAUUUGUUAAACUGUAGAUAACUUCCAGAUUUGACUCAAGAUUGUGUUGAAAUUGACGACAAUGAUUAUGUUUGAGAAAGCACUGUAUAGAAAAUCGUGCCUGCCAAAUGCAUAAUUGUAAAAAAAAAUAUAUAUUAAUCACUGAUAUAAAAUGCAGUCUAUGUUUAAAGAGCUAUGAAAUGUAAUAAACCUUUUUGUCAUAA